rnacentral:rRNA from 1 species
CCUACGAUGUGCAGCAGUGGGGAAUAUUGGACAAUGGGCGAAAGCCUGAUCCAGCCAUGCCGCGUGUGUGAAGAAGGCCUUCGGGUUGUAAAGCACUUUCAGUGGGGAAGAAAGCCUUGGGGCUAAUACCCUCGAGGAAGGACAUCACCCACAGAAGAAGCACCGGCUAACUCCGUGCCAGCAGCCGCGGUAAUACGGAGGGUGCGAGCGUUAAUCGGAAUUACUGGGCGUAAAGCGCGCGUAGGCGGUCUGAUAAGCCGGUUGUGAAAGCCCCGGGCUCAACCUGGGAACGGCAUCCGGAACUGUCAGGCUAGAGUGCAGGAGAGGAAGGUAGAAUUCCCGGUGUAGCGGUGAAAUGCGUAGAGAUCGGGAGGAAUACCAGUGGCGAAGGCGGCCUUCUGGACUGACACUGACGCUGAGGUGCGAAAGCGUGGGUAGCAAACAGGAUUAGAUACCCUAGUAGUC